GACGAACGCUGGCGGCGUGCUUAACACAUGCAAGUCGAGCGGAGCGGCGAACGGGUGAGUAACGCGUGAGUAAUUGCCCCCCUCUCUGUGAUAACAGUUGGAAACGGCUGCUCAUACCGGAUAGUGGGGGAUGAUUCGGGUCCUCUCAGCUUGUUGGUGAGGUAGUGGCCUACCAAGGCGACGUCGGGUGGCCGGUCUGAGAGGGAGACCGGCCAAAUUGGGCUGGGGUACAGGCAGAGCUCAUACGGGAGGAAGGGGUGAGGAAUAGUGCACGAUAGGGGAAACCCUGAUGCAGCAACGCCGCGUUCGGGAUGACGGCCUUCGGGUUGUAAACCGCUUUCAGCCAUGACGCGGGAGUGGCAGAGGAAGCAACGGCUAACUCCGUGCCAGCAGCCGCGGUAAUUC
rnacentral:rRNA from 1 species